UACGAAGGGGGCUAGCGUUGCUCGGAAUCACUGGGCGUAAAGCGCACGUAGGCGGGUCUUUAAGUCAGGGGGGAAAUCCUGGAGCUCAACUCCAGAACUGCCUUUGAUACUGAGGAUCUCGAGUCCGGGAGAGGUGAGUGGAACUCCGAGUGUAGAGGUGAAAUUCGUAGAUAUUCGGAAGAACACCAGUGGCGAAGGCGGCUCACUGGCCCGGUACUGACGCUGAGGUGCGAAAGCGUGGGGAGCAAACAGG
rnacentral:rRNA from 1 species